rnacentral:rRNA from 1 species
CAGUCGCCGCGGGAAUACGGAGGGUGCAAGCGUUAAUCGGAAUUACUGGGCGUAAAGCGCACGCAGGCGGUCUGACAAGUCAGAUGUGAAAUCCCCGGGCUUAACCUGGGAACUGCAUUUGAAACUGUCAGGCUGGAGUCUUGUAGAGGGGGGUAGAAUUCCAGGUGUAGCGGUGAAAUGCGUAGAGAUCUGGAGGAAUACCGGUGGCGAAGGCGGCCCCCUGGACAAAGACUGACGCUCAGGUGCGAAAGCGUGGGGAGCAAACAGGAUUAGAGACCCCGGUAGUCCCUGUCUCUUAUAA